ensembl:lncRNA
AUGAAAAUGAAAAUCAACAAAUUUCAGAUGACCAUAUUUUAAGUUCUGACAGUGAUAAUGACGAACUGAUUGAUGGAAUUUCGGAAAUACAAAUUGGAAGUGAAUUCGACAAAGAAAAUGUAACAGAAGAAGUUGCAAGCAUUAUUGAAGAUACUAUAAGGAGCCAGCAGGGGGCGCUAGAGAGUACUGGACAAGCAUUGGAGCCAGGAUUAAGAGGGAGUGUAGCGGUACAGGCGGUCACUCUACUCUUCUACUUGCUGGCCUUUCUGGUCAUCCUGCAGAGGUUUUGGAUCUACAUCGGCCGCUACAUUCUCAUAUAAGCCCACAGCACAGAAGCUGUGCACGGUCACUGCUGCAUGUCCAGACUGAGCCAGAGCCCAGUCCUGCUCCCUCUUCAUCUCAGCCCGACGCUGCCCCUCGCCGCCCCACGUUUGUCUUCUCCUGGCUCAGCCGUCGGCACAAGAGCCAGUGAAGACAGAGAGACCCUGCUAGUC